ACGCCACACACUCUCCCACCUAAACCUAAACCUAGGUCACCUGCCGCCGCCGCCUGACUUGCCAGCCGAUUUGCUCGCGUUGUUGCCGUCUCUCCCACCACCAGCGGUGCCUCCCAAAUCCUCCUUCUAGCAUGUGGUGCUUCCCCAUGUUCCAACCCCAAGGUGAUGCCUUAACAGAAGGCAUGACAGGAGAAGAGGAAGGGAGAUCCACCGCGAGCGAAGAAGGCCGGGCGGCGACCAUGGCACGCCCAGAUCGGCCAGCGCCGUCGACGUCGAGCUCCUCUGCUCCCAGUGCCAGAUCCGCCUCGGGCUCCAUCUCCACAACCACGCACCUACAGCCGCCAUGGAAGGUGCUCUGCGUGCUUGCUUCUUCCCUUCCUGGGACGCCGCUGCUCCGACGCCAUGGACAAAUAGAGGAGAAGAGGACAGGUCCUGGAAUCCAAAUUUCCUUCAUGAACAAAUGAAGCACAAUCCUUUGCAGUAGCUAAAGUUUCAGACUGGAUAAAUUACAUUGCAGCACCUGAAGUUUCAGACUGAAUAUAUUAUGUUGGCCACCUGUAUUUGGAAAAUUUACCCGAUGUAGCAUGUACAUUUAGUUUCCUAGAAGGCCAUUGCACUUGUCGUUAAUUAGCAACUCACAUUACAAAAGUGCCAGUGGAAAUUUUUGAAAUUAGUAGUGAAGUUUGCAUCUUUGUAACAGAACAUGUUAUACGGUCAAUAUUAACCAUAAAAAUUGGACUCUGUAUGUAGUGUAUGGGAAGUUUUAAGUGAUUAUGCGAAUAUGCUUUUCCUUCAGU